GACGAACGCUGGCGGCGUGCCUAAUACAUGCAAGUAGAACGCACAGUUUAUACCGUAGCUUGAUACACCAUAGACUGUGAGUUGCGAACGGGUGAGUAACGCGUAGGUAACCUGCCUGGUAGCGGGGGAUAACUAUUGGAAACGAUAGCUAAUAACGCAUAAUAUUAAUUAUUGCAUGAUAAUUACUUGAAAGGUGCAAUUGCACCACUACAAGAUGGACCUGAGUUGUAGUAGCUAGGAGGUGAGGUCAUGGCUCACCUAGGCGACGAUACAUAGCCGACCUUGAAGGGUGAGCGGCCACACUGGGACUGAGACACGGCCCAGACUCCUACGGGAGGCAGCAGGAGGGAAUCUUCGGCAAUCGACGAAAGUCUGACCGAGCAACGCCGCGUGAGUGAAGAAGGUUUUCGGAUCGUAAAGCUCUGUUGUAAGAGAAGAACGGGGGUGAGAGUGGAAAGUUCACACUGUGACGGUAUCUUACCAGAAAGGGACGGCUAACUACGUG
rnacentral:rRNA from 1 species